CGACCUGAGUUCAGGCGAGGCUUCCCGCUGAACUUAAGCAUAUCAAUAAGCGGAGGA
rnacentral:rRNA from 1 species